AUGCUUGGCUGCUUGGCUGCUUGGCGGGCCAGAGUUUCAGCUCCGAUCCACGAGGGGGCGCAAGGCCCUGCUUGCGCAGGUUCCGCCCGAGGAGACGCCGCUCUAGGCCGCAGCCGGCGCUCCCACUGCAUUUCUGCCGGCGCCGAACCGAGGGAGGAUGGUCUCGCCGCCCCACGUGAGUCACUGCGUGGUCGCGCUGCCCAGGGACCCCUGGCGGCCUCCAAGGCCGGUGCUCCGUCCCCACAUCCCCGACAGGAGGGGAAACUGAGGCGGCAGGCGGCGGGGAGCUUCGGCCGCAGGUCGGCUCUGAGCCCAGGCCCGCUCCAGCUCCCGAGCCGGUCUCCUCCUCCGGAUGUGGACUUCUCGGAGCUCGUGUCCCCGACAAAGGGGUGUCGGGUCACCGCGCCACCGGCCGGCGCUGCUUCGGAGCGUCGGGUCCCCCGGCCUCACCCGCCCGGCCUCGCGAGCUCCCGGCUGCGUCGGAGACAGAUGAAGACCCUCCCUCGGACGGCUUUGCUGGGCCUGCCUCAGCCAGCGCCCCCUUCUGUCCUGCGGGUCCCUGACCCGCCCUGCCUGAUGCACCCCCACUGUGUGCAGGGGCUGAGGCUGUCCCCUGGGCCAGACACUGCCUGUCAGAUGUUGCACCCUUCCAAACCUGUCCUGGAGAUUCCAUCCUGUUCAAGAUCCAGCUUUCAGAACCUGUACAGUGUCAUCAGAGUUUGCACAGAAGAUGAUCUGCCCCAGAUAAGCUGUUGUCCCAUGUGGAGUGGAAGCUUCCUUCCUGUUCAUGAGAAGACGGUGUGGCUCGUAGAGGAGGCAGCAUGGUGCAUAGGGUCCUUGAGAGGUGUCUCCAUCCUGUCAGGAAGCGGCUGGACCAUGGUGCUGCUGAGUUGCAGAUGAGUCCACUGUGUGCAGAGGCGUCAUGGAAGUUGCUAUGUUGGGAACAUUCUAGACCCCAGUGUCCUUGAGGAGGAUUGAUAUUCCUUCCUGAGCCAAGUUUGGUGUGAAAAAAAACGUGCAGCUCAUCCCUGACUUAGUGGGGGCAGUCUCACGGAUGUCGGCUUGAAGAAAGAUAAGGUAACGCUGGAGAGCAAAUCCUUGUCGUGAGCUCCUCAUCACCCUCAGGGUGCUGCCUGGGACCUGGACUUGGUUGGAAGAAGCCUCAAAGGAAAACAGUGGCCCCCCUCAGGAUGGUGACCUGGGUCCCAGCUCCCUGGAGGGGCCUCCUCGUGGUUAUUUUGGGGCUGAUCACAGACACUGUGUAGCAGAGCGAAGAAUGAUGUUGCCACAUGACCGUCACCAGACCUUCUAUCUUCCAUUGGCUCAGCACAGAAUGGAAGGACUUCGCAGCUCUGUAAAGGGGGCAGAUGGAAUGUCCUGGGACUCUAGGGACUUGGGGUUCAGAGCUGAAGACCUUCACUUAGCUCUGCCUCUCCCCAGCAGGUGCCACAGAGCGCUGCGGACCCAGAAAACUGGUUUCCUUCCAUCUGGACCAGGUCAUCCAGUGGCCUCCAUGUCCCCCUGCCUACUGCUAUGUAACUUUUUAGAACCAAGAGUUUGUGUUGGAGUUUCUGUGUGUGCAUCUUGUCCUCUCAUCCACUUCAGUAAAUCUUGAAGCUGCCCAA